rnacentral:rRNA from 1 species
AUUGAACGCUGGCGGCAGGCUUAACACAUGCAAGUCGAGCGGAGAUGAGGUGCUUGCACCUUGUCUUAGCGGCGGACGGGUGAGCAAUGCUUAGGAAUCUGCCUAUUAGUGGGGGACAACAUUCCGAAAGGAAUGCUAAUACCGCAUACGUCCUACGGGAGAAAGCAGGGGAUCUUCGGACCUUGCGCUAAUAGAUGAGCCUAAGUCGGAUUAGCUAGUUGGUGGGGUAAAGGCCUACCAAGGCGACGAUCUGUAGCGGGUCUGAGAGGAUGAUCCGCCACACUGGGACUGAGACACGGCCCAGACUCCUACGGGAGGCAGCAGUGGGGAAUAUUGGACAAUGGGGGGAACCCUGAUCCAGCCAUGCCGCGUGUGUGAAGAAGGCCUUAUGGUUGUAAAGCACUUUAAGCGAGGAGGAGGCUACUGAGACUAAUACUCUUGGAUAGUGGACGUUACUCGCAGAAUAAGCACCGGCUAACUCUGUGCCAGCCGCCGCAGUAA